rnacentral:rRNA from 1 species
UGAGGAAUAUUGGACAAUGGGCGGGAGCCUGAUCCAGCCAUGCCGCGUGCAGGAUGACGGCCCUAUGGGUUGUAAACUGCUUUUAUACGGGAAGAAAUGCGCCCACGUGUGGGCGUCUGACGGUACCGUAAGAAUAAGGACCGGCUAACUCCGUGCCAGCAGCCGCGGUAAUACGGAGGGUCCGAGCGUUAUCCGGAAUCAUUGGGUUUAAAGGGUCCGUAGGCGGGCCUGUAAGUCAGGGGUGAAAGUUUGUGGCUCAACCAUAAAAUUGCCUUUGAUACUGCAGGUCUUGAGUCAUGGUGGGGUCGCCGGAACAUGUGGUGUAGCGGUGAAAUGCAUAGAUAUCACAUAGAACACCGAUCGCGAAGGCAGGUGGCCAACCAUGUACUGACGCUGAUGGACGAAAGCGUGGGUAGCGAACGGG